rnacentral:rRNA from 1 species
UACGUAGGGCGCAAGCGUUGUCCGGAAUCAUUGGGCGUAAAGAGCUCGUAGGCGGCCUGUUGCGUCCGCUGUGAAAUCCCGGGGCUUAACCCCGGGCGUGGAGUGGAUACGGGCUGGCUGGAGGCAGGCAGGGGAGAACGGAAUUCCCGGUGUAGCGGUGAAAUGCGCAGAUAUCGGGAGGAACACCGGUGGCGAAGGCGGUUCUCCGGGCCUGUACUGACGCUGAGGAGCGAAAGCGUGGGGAGCGAACAGG